rnacentral:rRNA from 1 species
GACGAACGCUGGCGGCGUGCUUAACACAUGCAAGUCGAACGGAAAGGCCCCUUUGGGGGUACUCGAGUGGCGAACGGGUGAGUAACACGUGAGUAACCUGCCCUUGACUUCGGGAUAACUUCAGGAAACUGGGGCUAAUACCGGCUAGGAAUCCUUGCUGCAUGGUGGGGGUUGGAAAGCUUCGGCGGUUUUGGAUGGACUCGCGGCUUAUCAGCUUGUUGGUGGGGUAGUGGCUUACCAAGGCUUUGACGGGUAGCCGGCCUGAGAGGGCGACCGGCCACAUUGGGACUGAGAUACGGCCCAGACUCCUACGGGAGGCAGCAGUGGGGAAGAUUGCACAAUGGGCGGAAGCCUGAUGCAGCAACGCCGCGUGCGGGAUGACGGCCUUCGGGUUGUAAACCGCUUUCAGCAGGGGCGAAGCUUGUGGUGACGGUACCUGCAGAAGAAGCACCGGCUAACUACGUG